rnacentral:piRNA from 1 species
UGGGUCCCGCCAUAGUGCCAUGGCAAGCGA